UAUUUUUGUUUAAUCCAUAUUUUAGGACGUAAUCAGUUUGGUCAGUUGGGCCAAUCUGAGUUGAGAACAUUCGAAAAGCCAACACCUGUUACUGGACUGGAAGAAGUAAAUGUCAUUCAAGCAGCUUGUGGACGGAAUCAUACAUUAUUUUUAAGUGACACCGGAGUCGUGUACGCAUGUGGCGACAAUAAGAGCGGUCAAUGUGGUGUUGGUAAUACACAACCGACAAUAUUGAAAGCGACCCGAUUAAACUAUGCUGGCCCCCCAAUAAUUAAAGUCGCUUGCGGUGCUGAAUUUUCAAUGAUAUUAGACAUAAAAGGUAACGUGUACUCCUUUGGGUUGCCUGAAUAUGGACAGCUGGGACAUAAUACAGAGGGAAAGUAUUUCGUCACGUCCACAAAAAUGUCAUUUCAUUUUGAAACUUCCCCGAAGAAAAUUGUAUUGUAUGUUGAAAAGACUAAAGAUGGACAUGUAACUCCGAUAGAUGACGUUAAAAUUGUAGACUUCAGUUGCGGUAACAAUCACACGGUUGCAAUUGAUUCUAAGAAUAGAGCGUUCAGUUGGGGAUUUGGAGGAAUUGGUCGCCUUGGACAUGCUGAA